AUCACUGACUAAGAUUUGAAACAUGGGCUUUCCUAUGGACGUAGAAGCCCUCUACACCAAUAUUCCACACAAAGAUGGACUACAAGCUAUCAGGAACAGUAUCCCUGAUAAUGUCACAGCUAACCUGGUGGCUGAACUUUGUGAUUUUGUCCUCACCCACAACUAUUUUACAUUUGGGGACAAUAUAUACCUUCAAGUCAGCGGCACUGCUAUGGGUACCCGCAUGGCCCCACAAUAUGCCAACAUUUUUAUGGCUGACUUAGAACAAUGCUUCCUUAGCUCUCGUCCCCUAACGCCCCUACUCUACUUGCGCUACAUUGAUGACAUCUUCAUCACCUGGACCCAUGGAAAAGAAGCCCUUGAGGAAUUUCACCAUGAUUUCAAUAAUUUCCAUCCCACCAUCAACCUCAGCCUAGAUCAAUCCACACAAGCGGUCCAUUUCCUGGACACUACUGUGCUAAUAAGCGAUGGUCACAUAAAUACCACCCUAUACCGGAAACCUACUGACCGCUACAUUUACCUACAUGCCUCCAGCUUCCAUCCAGGACAUACCACACGAUCCAUCGUCUACAGCCAAGCUCUAAGAUAUAACCGCAUUUGCUCCAAUCCCUCGGAUAGAGACAAGCACCUACAAGAUCUCUAUCAAGCAUUCUUAAAACUACAAUACCCACCUGCUGAAGUGAAAAAACAGAUUGACAGAGCCAGACGAGUACCCAGAAGUUACCUCCUACAAGACAGGCCCAACAAAGAAAAUAACAGAACACCACUAGCUGUCACCUUCAGCCCCCAACUAAAACCUCUCCAGAGCAUCAUCAGAGAUCUACAACCUAUCCUAAAAGAUGAUCCUUUACUCUCACAGAUCUUGGGAGACAGACCUGUCCUCGCUUACAGACAACCCCUCAACCUAAAGCAAAUACUCACCAGCAACCACACAUCACUGAACAAAACCACUAACCCAGGAACCUAUCCUUGUAACAAACCCCAAUGCCAACUCUGUCCACAUAUCUAUUCCAGUGACAUCAUCAUAGGACCUAAUCACAUCAGCCAUACCAUCAGGGGCCCGUUCACCUGCACAUCUGCCAAUGUGC
rnacentral:lncRNA from 1 species